rnacentral:rRNA from 2 species
UGAUUCCUGGCUCAGAUUGAACGCUGGCGGCAUGCCUUACACAUGCAAGUCGAACGGUAACAGGUCUUCGGAUGCUGACGAGUGGCGAACGGGUGAGUAAUACAUCGGAACGUGCCCGAUCGUGGGGGAUAACGGAGCGAAAGCUUUGCUAAUACCGCAUACGAUCUACGGAUGAAAGCGGGGGAUCUUCGGACCUCGCGCGGACGGAGCGGCCGAUGGCAGAUUAGGUAGUUGGUGGGAUAAAAGCUUACCAAGCCGACGAUCUGUAGCUGGUCUGAGAGGAUGAUCAGCCACACUGGGACUGAGACACGGCCCAGACUCCUACGGGAGGCAGCAGUGGGGAAUUUUGGACAAUGGGCGCAAGCCUGAUCCAGCCAUGCCGCGUGCAGGAUGAAGGCCUUCGGGUUGUAAACUGCUUUU